CCACCCUAAUUGAACUCAAGGUAAGGUAAUUCACAUUUCACAACUUAUAAUAAUGUACGAUUUAAAUACCGAUUUGAUAAGAAAACAUGUGAUAUAAUCGGUCAAUUUUUACACAGAAUAUUCAUAAUGAUAACAAUAAACAAAAUCAAAAAGGAAAUUAAAUUUAAUCAUACUUCUCUCUCCAAGAGUAAACAAGAAAGAAAACCCACGAAAGCGCCAAAAGCACAUCACCAACAGUUUGCCUCAACCAAUCCCAAGCAAGAUCUUCAACUUUCCGUUCAAAGUAAAUCCUCCAAAGAGCCAUAAACACAUGCAACAAAAAACACCCUUUUGCAAAGAAAUGCUGAAAAUCACGAUCUUUCACAAACGAAACCAUGAAGAGAAGGAAUCCAAUAGCAACAAGGAGUAAACCGGAGAAGGAAUCGGAGGUUUUGAUGAGAAGUUGAUCGUGAGGAGUGGAUCCGAGAAGCUUUGUGGCUGUUUGAACGCCGUGGCCGAAGGUGUAAACUUCUUUCAUGUAGAACAUCAUGAGUGCGCCGGAGGUGAUUGCGAUUAUGGAGUGGAGAAUGCAGAUGACGAAGAACGCCGAUGAUGAUGACAUUGAUCGGAAAAUUGAUUCGCCGAUGAAGAUUCGAUUUUUUAGGGAGGAGACAUUGGAAAAUGGAAUCUGUAAAACCCUAAUUCUCUUUCAGCUCACGAAAUAGGGAA
rnacentral:lncRNA from 1 species